GGGGGAAGCGCCAGAUCCUGGGCAGUGUCCCCGGCGCCCUGUGCUCCCGGGCCUAUGCUGUUGGAUUCGCGCUCCCAGCCGCGCAGCCCCCU
rnacentral:pre_miRNA from 1 species